AUUGAACGCUGGCGGAAUGCUUUACACAUGCAAGUCGAACGGCAGCACGGACUUCGGUCUGGUGGCGAGCGGCGAACGGGUGAGUAAUACAUCGGAACGUGCCCAAUCGUGGGGGAUAACGUAGCGAAAGCUAUGCUAAUACCGCAUACGAUCUAAGGAUGAAAGCGGGGGAUCGCAAGACCUCGCGCGAUUGGAGCGGCCGAUGGCAGAUUAGGUAGUUGGUAGGGUAAAGGCCUACCAAGCCGACGAUCUGUAGCUGGUCUGAGAGGAUGAUCAGCCACACUGGGACUGAGACACGGCCCAGACUCCUACGGGAGGCAGCAGUGGGGAAUUUUGGACAAUGGACGCAAGUCUGAUCCAGCCAUUCCGCGUGCAGGAUGAAGGCCCUCGGGUUGUAAACUGCUUUUGUACAGAACGAAAAGGCUCUGGUUAAUACCUAGGGCUCAUGACGGUACUGUAAGAAUAAGCACCGGCUAACUACGUGCCAGCCGCCGCUGUAA
rnacentral:rRNA from 1 species